GCUUUAUAACGACUGUGUUUGUACGAGUGUUUCUUGCACGUGGCCCGUUGUGCGUCAGUGACGUUGUUAGUCGGCCAUCUCGAGCUUCCUUUUCAUGUUAUUCUCAUUUCUGUUACCUUUGAGCUCUGCCAAGAUUCUUCUGCUAUGCUUUCAUUGUCUUAAAAUUCAUACUUUUUUUGAUCGAGCUGCUGUUAACUUCAUGAGUAACACGGCGUCCUCUUCCGUUGCUGACCAGUAUUUUCCCAGCUCCAGCUCGAAUACCAAUGAUUUUUCUUCACUUUCAGAGAUUUUACGAUGUCCGCUUUAGUUUUUUUUUCUCAGAUCAGAGUUUGCACAGCUGAUGAGAUCUUUAAAUCACAUUUUAUGGCUCUUUUGGCAUUUUGAAAGUCAUCUCACAUCUUUUUUUAAUUUUAAUUCUUUAGAAGUAGCGAUUAUAAAUGUACAAGCUUUGUGAAAACUUUUAAAUGAAUAGUUUAACAUGUUGUGAAAAA